GCUGGCGUAGCUCAAUUGGUAGAGCAUCUCAUUUGUAAUGAGAGGGUUGGGGGUUCGAGUCCCUUCGCCAGCU
rnacentral:tRNA from 1 species